AUAAAGACGUUGAAGAGGAGUAUUAGGUCUUUACCUCGAUAGGAGAGAGCCGGCGGUCGCUGCGAGCCGGUAUCGAGCGGACUGAACUCGCCUCGGAGUCGCACGGUUGAUCCGGUUGAAAUCGGCUAGGUCGUGACGUGAUCCUGCGUUAAGGGCAAUGAAGGGUUCCUGCUGGAACUGAAUCAGGGUGGUACCGCGAAGCAAAGCUCUCGCCCCUGGA
rnacentral:ncRNA from 1 species